rnacentral:rRNA from 1 species
CUACGGGCCGCUGCAGUGAGGAAUAUUGCACAAUGGGGGGAACCCUGAUGCAGCAACGCCGCGUGGAGGAUGACGCAUUUCGGUGUGUAAACUCCUUUUAUAUGUCAAGAAAAUGACGGUAGCAUAUGAAUAAGCACCGGCUAACUCCGUGCCAGCAGCCGCGGUAAUACGGAGGGUGCAAGCGUUACUCGGAAUCACUGGGCGUAAAGGACGCGUAGGCGGGUUGGAAAGUCAGGUGUGAAAUCCUACAGCUUAACUGUAGAACUGCACUUGAAACUUCUAAUAUAGAGUAUGGGAGGGAGAGAUGGAAUUAGUGGUGUAGGGGUAAAAUCCGUAGAUAUCACUAGGAAUACCUAAAGCGAAGGCGAUCUCCUGGAACAUUACUGACGCUAAGGCGUGAAAGCGUGGGGAGCAAACAGGAUUAGAUACCCCAGUAGUC